rnacentral:piRNA from 1 species
UACCUCCAUUACUUGUCUAGUUGAUGUGCA